CGCCCCUUGAUUUAAAACCAUAGGGGGUACUGCCUGCCCAGUGAUAAAUAUUCAACGGCCGCGGUAUUAUGACCGUGCAAAGGUAGCGUAAUCACUUGUCUUUUAAAUAAAGACCAGUAUGAAUGGCAAAACGAAAGCUUAACUGUCUCCUUAAAUUGAUUAGUGAAAUUGAUCUCCCCGUGCAGAAGCGGGAAUAUUAAUAUAAGACGAGAAGACCCUAUGGAGCUUUAAAUUUAAAUUAAUUAUAUUUAUUAAGAUAUAAUAAAUAAUAUAACCAGAAAUUUUAGGUUGGGGCGACCACGGAGCAAACUUUAACCUCCGAGAUAAAUAAUUAAGAAAUACAUUUCAAAAUAAUAAAAUAUUAAUAUGUUUGAUCCAAUAUUUGAUCAACGAACUAGUUACCCUAGGGAUAACAGCGCAAUCUCCUCAAAGAGUUCAUAUCGAUGAGUAGGUUUACGACCUCGAUGUUGGAUCAGGACUUCCCAAUGGUGCAGCAACUAUUAAAGGUUCGUUUGUUCAACGAUUAAAGUCCU
rnacentral:rRNA from 1 species